rnacentral:rRNA from 1 species
UACGUAGGGUGCGAGCGUUUGUCCGGAAUUAUUGGGCGUAAAGAGCUCGUAGGCGGUGUGUCGCGUCGGCCGUGAAAACCUGCAGCUUAACUGUGGGCUUGCGGUCGAUACGGGCAUCACUGGAGUUCGGCAGGGGAGACUGGAAUCCUGGUGUAGCGGUGAAAUGCGCAGAUAUCAGGAGGAACACCUGCGGCGAAGGCGGGUUGCUGGGCCGACACUGACGCUGAGGCGCGAAAGCCAGGGGAGCGAACGGGG